rnacentral:hammerhead_ribozyme from 1 species
AUCCCACUGAAGUGUCCCAAAUGGGACGAAACGCAGGUCCUGGAU